CUGUAGUGAUGAUUUACAACCUGAACUCUCUCUUUCUGAUGCUUUCGUGGAGAAAACGAAAUUUAUAAAUUCUGAGUAGC
rnacentral:snoRNA from 1 species